rnacentral:rRNA from 1 species
UGAAUACGAGAUACUACGGUGUCGAAGCAGUCUAUGUCAUACUUCCAAGAAAAGCUUGCACUGUCAUAAACAAAUAAUGCCUGUACCAUAACCGACACAGGUGGGUAGGUAGAGUAUACUAAGGGGCGCGAUAUAACUCUCUCUAAGGAACUCGGCAAAAUGACUCCGUAACUUCGGGAGAAGGAGUGCCUUAUAUUUAUAAGGUUGCAAUAACAAGAUCCAAGCAACUGUUUAUCAAAAACACAGGUCUCCGCUAAGUCGUAAGACGAUGUAUGGGGGCUGACGCCUGCCCAGUGCCAGGAGGUUAAAGAAGUUGGUUAGCUUUUGCGAAGCUGAUAACUGAAGCCCUGGUGAACGGCGGCCGUAACGAUAACGGUCCUAAGGUAGCGAAAUUCCUUGUCGGGUAAGUUCCGACCCGCACGAAAGGCGUAAUGAUUUGGAUACUGUCUCGGAGAGGGACUCGGUGAAAUAGACUUGUCUGUGAAGAUGCGGACUACUUGCACCAGGACAGAAAGACCCUAUGAAGCUUUACUGUAACCUGAAAUUGAAAUUGGACUUUACUUGCGCAGGAUAGGUGGGAGGCUUUGAGAAUAUUCUUGCGGGAAUAUUGGAGCCAUCAGUGAGAUACCACUCUGGUAAUGUUAGAUUUCUAACUUUGUAUCAUUAUCUGGUCAAAGAACAGUUUCAGGCGGGCAGUUUGACUGGGGCGGUCGCCUCCUAAACGGUAACGGAGGCGCACAAAGGUUUCCUCUGAACGGGUAGAAAUCGUAUCUAGAGUGUAAAGGCAUAAGGAAGCUUGACUGUGAGACCUACAAGUCGAGCAGGGACGAAAGUCGGUCUUAGUGAUCUGACGGUGCUGAGUGGAAAGGCCGUCACUCAACGGAUAAAAGUUACUCUAGGAUAACAGGCUGAUCUCCCCCAAGAGUUCACAUCGACGGGGAGGUUUGGCACCUCGAUGUCGGCUCAUCGCAUCCUGGGGCGGUAGUACGUCCCAAGGGUUGGGCUGUUCGCCCAUGAAAGCGGUACGCGAGCUGGGUUCAGAACGUCGUGAGACAGUUCGGUCCAUAUCCGGUGUAAGCGUUAGAAUAUUGAGAGGAGCCUUCUUUAGUACGAGAGGACCGAGAAGGAUGCACCGCUGGUGUACCAGUUAUUGUGCCAACAGUAAACGCUGGGUAGCUAUGUGUGGAGUGGAUAACCGCUGAAAGCAUCUAAGUGGGAAGCCCACCUCAAGAUAAG